rnacentral:lncRNA from 1 species
UCCACGGCAAGUGUUUGCGGGUGAUCCUCAUCAGAGAUUGUGAUAUAUCAAGAACACCUAAAUAAUUCCAUUGUUGGAUAUUACAUGCAUACCAUAAGAAGGUUUCAUUACUUGACCUACAUUAUCCAUUGUUGGACAUGACUUCAUAGUGCAACUCUAGGUGAUACAGACUAUGCAGUAACAAUGGAGAUAGUUUGGGAUAUCGACCCUACAGAAAGAAUUCAGGAUAUCUUUUCCCCAUUUUUGCUCGCAGGACAACCGACAUUGUGAUUCCCUACAUACAUGAGCUCCAAAUGCAACUCCACUAAAACAUUGCUCUGUAGAGAAGAACACACAUAAUUAAAAUAAGUCCAUAUUGAAAAAAUUCCAAAGAUAUUUGUGUAGUUCAUCUGACAAUAUUAUUCUACUCUGGUUGAUGCCUGAAAGGAAAUAUAUAUAGGGAAAGGGAGAGCAAUUUCUUACCAACAUGAAUGGAAUUUCCGAGCUGCACAAUCACCAUGAGGCAAAGAAGAAUAGCUUUGCCUUCCAUUAGACUAGACACUAUGAUCUUCUUCUCCUCUCAGUUUUGGUGUACAAAAGCGUACCCA